GUCACAGGUGGUGCGGCACUUGAAUGAGUGCAGCACCGAAUGCGCAGUACCUAACGAAGACGGUAAUAAG
rfam:Pseudomonas sp. G5(2012) strain G5 PG5_91, whole genome shotgun sequence.